UACGAAGGGGGCUAGCGUUGUUCGGAAUUACUGGGCGUAAAGCGCACGCAGGCGGCUCGUUAAAUUAGAAGUGAAAGCCCCGGGCUUAACCUGGGAAUUGCUUUUAAGACUGGCGAGCUAGAAUCCAGAAGAGGGUAGUGGAAUUCCGAGUGUAGAGGUGAAAUUCGUAGAUAUUCGGAAGAACACCAGUGGCGAAGGCGACUACCUGGUCUGGCAUUGACGCUCAUGUGCGAAAGCGUGGGGAGCAAACAGG
rnacentral:rRNA from 1 species